rnacentral:lncRNA from 1 species
GGGGCGUCAGCGAGCGCCAACUUUCAGCGUCUUUUCUGCGGCUUCCUUCUAUCCCGCUCCGAGGCUGCAGGGCCCUGGCAGAGUGGCGUCAGCUGGAAGGCUGGCCAGAGCCGGAUUUUGUUGCACUCCGGGCAGGAAGAUGGCCGAGGCGGCGGCUGACGGAGAUAGUAGUGCCUUGCUGAAGUCACGGCGGCCGGCGGCGCCCUCCUGGAGGCUGACUGGACGGAGGCAGGGAACUUCCCGGUGAGCCAGCCGGGCCUAGCAGGAGCCUUCGGCGGCUGCCCAAAGCCGUGGGGACGGCUGGCUGACUCAGCCGCUCUCUGGACGGAGUUGCUGCGUCCCCACAAGCCUGCCCGUGCAGCUGAAGUGGCAGGUUAGAGUUGUGGUACUCAAACUUAAGUCCAAGCAAACAGGAGGAGCACCGGCGCGGGUUCAGUCUUUCCAAACCCAGUUCAGCCGUAAUCUCUGGAGUCAGAUUUCGCCGCCCAAUUCAUGGAUUUGUGCUUUUGACUCCGCUCUGAUGUUUUUGAAUGAAUACAAAGUUGCCUGGGAUACUUAAGUAUAGUUGCAGAGCGUCUUUUCGGCCCUGAAAAGAGGGAAAGUUUCCAUUGAAAAAGUUCUUUAUCACAUAUUGGCAAACCCAAAGUAUGCCAAUUUGCAACGUGUUGACAUUUUCAUUGAAAUAUCUACAAUAAAGGCAAAGAUUCCUUGUCUCAGUGA